UAUUUGGCUACAGGCAUUUGGAAACCUUAUCAAGGCAAACACACUGUCACCCAACUCCUUUCAAAUGAACCAGGGUAUUUUUAAAGCAGCGUGAGAGUCAUCAUGGAGGAAGCAUUGGAGGGAAGGAACUGAGAUGCUGAUGAUUUGGCUUGCGCAGGGGAGAUUCAGAGGUCCCGGGUAAGAAGAACCCCACAACUCAGGAACCGGGGAAACUGCUUAAUUACAACCCCCUUAAAACAGCACCAGAACCAAAACAGAUGAGAGGCCUCUGCUUUCAAAGCUACUGACAAUCUUAAAUAAAUGGGGAAGACUCCAACAAGAGACAACUGAGGAAGUUGAAGCUUGAGAAAAUGGAGUUGUUCA